UUCAGUGACACCAUUUUAAAGAUUUUUCUAUAUUAUUUGGUGCAAGUCUAUAUCUUCAAUCAAUAUAUUCAAAGAGGAAUUACUAUUUACAGUGAAUAUAAGCAGGAAUACAAUAGUAAUAAUUAUGUUUUGUGUGUUACCAACAGCAGUCUUCAGUAAAUUGGUUGCAAAUCAACCUGAUGAGACUGUUGACUGAUACUUUUAUGAUUAUAUAUGAUGUAAGUGAAGUUGAAUCCAUUGUAAUGCCUUGUCAUGUCAGAAGCCACUAGAUUUUAAUUGUUAUUAAGCGUCAUAAAUCAAUUUUUUAAUUUUGAUUCUAUUGAAAAAUAUUUUACUGUGACAAAACAAGCAAGUGCUGGUAUGAAUCAAAAUUUUAUUUGAAUUAAUGUUUUGUUGUUCAAAUUGAAUAGUGUGUUGUCAAAAAAGGUAGGGGUGCACACACAGAAGUUUAACUUUUCAGACUAUACAAACAUACUAUGAAGUGGUAUGUACAAACUUACAAAUUUUUGUUUAUUAUUGCAACAGUUUGUACCCAAACAAGACAGUUCCAUUGACUGUGGUGCUUAUCUGUGCAAAUUAUGCAUAUCUAAUAUGUUAUUGUUAAAAUUAAUUGACUUUUAGUUUGCCUAUACAUGUACAUCAUACUGUGUUGUGAUGGAGUGUUCU